GAUGAACGCUAGCGGCAGGCUUAAUACAUGCAAGUCGAGGGGUAACAUGGUAGCAAUACUGAUGACGACCGGCAAACGGGUGCGGAACACGUACAGAACCUUCCUUUAAGCGGGGGAUAGCCCAUAGAAAUGUGGAUUAAUACCCAUAGCAAUAUUUAAUGGCAUCAUUAGAUAUUUAAAGAUUUAUCACUUAAAGAUGGCUGUGCGGCUGAUUAGGUAGNGGUGCGGUAACGGCCACCAAGCCAUCGAUCAGUAACUGGUGUGAGAGCACGACCAGUCACACGGGCACUGAGACACGGGCCCGACU
rnacentral:rRNA from 1 species